UACGGAAGGUCCGGGCGUUAUCCGGAUUUAUUGGGUUUAAAGGGAGCGUAGGCCGGAGAUUAAGCGUGUUGUGAAAUGUAGACGCUCAACGUCUGCACUGCAGCGCGAACUGGUUUCCUUGAGUACGCACAAAGUGGGCGGAAUUCGUGGUGUAGCGGUGAAAUGCUUAGAUAUCACGAAGAACUCCGAUUGCGAAGGCAGCUCACUGGAGCGCAACUGACGCUGAAGCUCGAAAGUGCGGGUAUCGAACAGGAUUAGAAACAGUCCGGCUGACUGACU
rnacentral:rRNA from 1 species